CAAGGUGUAAUUUGGAAUGAGAAAGGGGGCAUUUCUUGCUGUGGUUUAUACACACAAAGGGCUGGAAGUGCUGCGGCUGAUUGCUGUUACUACGAGGACUCUUUCUGUCUGUGCCAAAUGUGAAACAAAACCUAACAACAUCCCUUUGGUGUGUUUCAUGCUUCUUGGCAUAAAGACAAUACUGUAAAUCUAAUGAACAGAUUAUGUUUACAGUUCUCCUCUCAAUGUUCUCUGGAUUAAUUUCAACAAAGUUUUUAUUUUCAUCUCAAUAAUAUUUCAGGGGAAAAGGAUAUUGCAGGACUCUUUGGAGGCUCAUGAAAACAUCAAAACAGCGGUAGGUGCAGCGUCAGGAGAUGGAACGUUUUCUUGGAAAAUCGCUCCUUAAAAGUUGUCUCUCUGGCUGAAGUUGACAGACACUUUCAGAUUGCAGACUUCAGACACGAAAUCCCCGUUGAGGCUUUACUUUGCAUCUGCGUGCAAGUGCGUUCGCUUGUGUGUAUUUCUUUGUCUACCAUAUGUAUAUACAAGCAUGUCUGUGAGCGUCGUAUGCUUAUAGAUGUCUAAAUGUAUGUGCAUGUAUCAGACGAGGGCACAGAGAAUCGUCUCUGUGGAACAUCUAAUCGGGAGCCAUUUUUCCAGCCAUGCUCACAUCCGGAUGCAAGCAAGCAACAGAUGGCAGGACUGGGCGCUGUGGCCGAUUUAGUCCGCUCGUGUUUGCUAGGAAGUAAUUGUGUUUUAACCUGGAGAGAAACUGAAUAUUACAGCCAUGCAGGCAAACAAAUUAUAGUCACCUCGCUGGCCAGCAGAUGACUCUAUUUGUCUCAUGUCCAGAUGGAGUUCGAAGAAAAUAAAUUGGUCUGUGAUGCUGCAUGGACUGAAUGCACUUGUGUGCGUGCAUCUGACUGUUUGCUCGCACGUCUCUUUGUCUGUCUUUCUACCUGUCUGUCUACCUGUUUAUCUCCUCCACAGCUGCCCGUCUGCCUCCUCAUAUAUCAGCCUGUCUGUUUUUGUAUCGUGGCAGAUGUUUCAAUGCUGCAGGUCUUUAUAUCAGAAAAGGCAGCAGAGGGAAAAAAUACUGUUCAGGUGGAUUAGAGCGUCCGUACAUUCACUUCAGCAUUGUGCCACAGAUUGUCUUUUGAUGCCAAACGCCGCCCUGGGGGACAUAAAUACUUACUAGAGAUUGGUAUGGUUUCAAGAUAAGCAUUCAUUAGCAUGAACAUCAACAAAAGAUCUGCCACGCUGAUCUCUCUACAAAUUAAGUCACUUUUUUCUAUUUCACGUCUCCCUGAUUUUCAACACUCGCUGUUUAUAUAAAACAUUCUUGAAUGAAGUGUUCAUUCACUGUCAAUUCCUGCGCCGCGUGCCAACUGUGUGCAUCAGAAAAUCCCCUGCAAUCUUUGUUUUGGCUAGUGUGAGGCGGCAAGUGAUUACCCAGAGUGCUUUCGGAAGUUAAUGUUCAUGGUCUGCACAGCGGGAUUCUAGGAGUGAUGACAGAGGAAGUGCCUCGGGGCGAGCGUCUCUUCGCUGCCAUCUCACUUUCACUGUUUCUGACAACGCGUUUACCCCAACAGAUGGCUCCAAUGCUCAAACACAGACACUGUGAGGCUAUGAAGAAUUGCGUGGGCCGAUACAACACAAAGAUGUGCAGAAAAUCCAAAACCAACUAGUGUGAAUUAAUGUAGAAUUGACUAAUGGGAUCUGUAAUGUGUUGAAAUAACUUGGUCAAAGGGCUCCAUCAUGUUUACUUUUACAUGAACGCAAAUCAUUCACUAUCUUAUUAUUUCAUCAGUUUAUUUCCUCUAUAACUUUACUUUUAUUCACUUUUUAAUACAGUGAAAUACUGCUGGUUAAAAGUGAUCACAAGAACAAAAAAAAUGCAGGAAAUCUACAAAAUACGAACUUCAAAGAAUAGCAAGUGUUGUUAGGGUAAAAGUGUGUAGUAUAGGAAGAAUGUGUGUGUGUGUAGGGAAUAUGACUCGAUGACACCUUGGUCCCAAACUGCAGCUCAUUCUGUAAAAGUGUUUUCUUUGCAUAUCAAAGAAGAAGAGUUCAGCUAUUUCUUCAGGCCGCUGAAAUGACACACAGCACGACGUCAGAAUGUGACUUACUGAGUAGUUCAGCGGCAUGAAAUAGUGUAUUUGUGUGUGCAUUCAGAAUACUGCAUUCAGAAUACCCCAAAACGCCAAUUCUCUAUCAUGUUGGACCACAAUCAUUUGUCCUCAAAGACAAGACUGUAUAUAAGCCGUAACACUUUGAAGUCAAAUAUGAAUCUCAAAGAACCUUAAGCCCAUAAAUAAUAUCUGAGCGUUUCUGACUCUUGACGGUAGCAUCACAAACAAAAGUGUGGUAGAUAGCAAUGCACACCACUACAUUGACUAUCUGACUGGCAUAACUGCAGUACAGUUUAGCUCUGUGAAACUUGUUUGAAGGAAUAGUUUGACAUUUUGAGAAUUCACUUUAUUACCAAGAGUUAGAUGAGAUGAUUGAUACCAUUCUCAUGUCUGUAUGGUAAAUAUUUAGCUAGUGCCAGCAGCUGGUUAGCUUAGCUUAGCACAAAGAUUGGACACAGUUAGCAAACAGGCAUGGUAGUGGUAUCAAUCUCCUGAUUUAACUCUUGGCAAGAGAGUGAAUACACUUAUUUCCCAAAAUGUCAAACUACUCUUUUAACAAAAUCAGCAGCUUGAGUACAUACACUGAAAUUCUGGAUCAGUUUUGGAUCACAACUAUUGUAUGUUUUGUUUUACUACCGAUUACAAUGACGCAGUUCUCAGAAUAUUCUGGAGUUUGAUUGUAGUUGAAGUCAUCUCCAUAGCAACGGCUGCUGAGGCUCAACCUGAUCAUAGAAAUGUGAAUUUUCAGUAAAAAGGUUUAAUUAUUUUUUUUACAGAUGACCAUAACAUGACCCCAGUAGUGUAACCGAAUUAUCCAGGAGACUCCCAUGUUUCAGAAUCAGAAUCAGAAUCAGAAUCAGAAUCAGAAUCAGAAUGGUGUUUAUUGCCAGGUGUAAGAGGUAUGCACUAGGAAUUUUCUUUGGUUUUACAUGUGGUUGUUUCUGUAUUGAAUAACAGUUAAGUUGAAAAAAUUCAUUCUGAUGUAAAUUUACAAUGAAAAAUAACUUUUUUUGAUCUUUUAGUUUCGCUCAAUUCAGAUUUUAAAUUCAUAAAAUCAAACAAGAGUGAAAAAAA